UACGGAGGAUCCAAGCGUUAUCCGGAUUUAUUGGGUUUAAAGGGUGCGUAGGCGGAUUGAUAAGUUAGAGGUGAAAUGUCCGAGCUCAACUCGGGAACUGCCUCUAAUACUGUUGAUCUAGAGAGUAGAUGCGGUAGGCGGAAUAAGUUAAGUAGCGGUGAAAUGCAUAGAUAUAACUUAGAACUCCGAUCGCGAAGGCAGCUUACCAGACUGUAACUGACGCUGAAGCACGAGAGCGUGGGUAGCAAACAGG
rnacentral:rRNA from 1 species